rnacentral:rRNA from 1 species
AGUAACACGUGGGCAACCUGCCCAAAAGAGGGGGAUAACACUUGGAAACAGGUGCUAAUACCGCAUAACCAUAGUUACCGCAUGGUAGCUAUGUAAAAGGUGGCUAUGCUACCGCUUUUGGAUGGGCCCGCGGCGCAUUAGCUAGUUGGUGGGGUAAAGGCUUACCAAGGCAAUGAUGCAUAGCCGAGUUGAGAGACUGAUCGGCCACAUUGGGACUGAGACACGGCCCAAACUCCUACGGGAGGCAGCAG